CGCCCAACGUGGGUCGCGAACCCACGACCUUGAGAUUAAGAGUUUCAUGUACUACCGACUGAGUAAUAAAAC